rnacentral:rRNA from 1 species
UACGGAGGGUGCAAGCGUUGUCCGGAUUUAUUGGGUUUAAAGGGUGCGUAGGUGGGUAAGCAAGUCUGGUUUGAAAGCUGGUCGCUCAACGAUCAGAUGUGGCUGGAAACUGUUUAUCUUGAAUGGCGUAGCGGUAGCCGGAAUGGGUCAUGUAGCGGUGAAAUGCAUAGAUAUGACCCGGAACACCGAUUGCGAAGGCAGGCUACUGGGCGUCGAUUGACACUGAGGCACGAGAGCAUGGGUAGCAAACAGG